rnacentral:rRNA from 1 species
GUUAGGAAUAUUCGUCAAUGGGGGAAACCCUGAACGAGCAAUGCCGCGUGAGUGAUGACGGUCUUUAUGAUUGUAAAACUCUGUUGUUAGGGAAGAAACCUUACUAUAGGAAAUGAUAGUAAGCUGACGGUACCUAACCAGAAAGCCCCGGCUAACUACGUGCCAGCAGACGCGGUAAUACGUAGGGGGCGAGCGUUAUCCGGAUUUAUUGGGCGUAAAGCGUGUGUAGGCGGUUUGUUAAGUAUAAGAUAAAAGCCUGGGGCUCAACCUCAGUUCGUCUUAUAAACUGGCAGGCUUGAGUGUGGUAGAGGCAAGUGGAAUUUCUAGUGUAGCGGUUAAAUGCGUAGAUAUUAGAAGGAACACCAGUGGCGAAGGCGGCUUGCUGGGCCAUUACUGACGCUGAGACACGAAAGCGUGGGGAGCAAAUAGGAUUAGAAACCCUAGUAGUCC